UGAUACUAGGGUCAAAAGGUCACAUUUUCAUGCUUGCAUGAAAAAUUGUGACUUUGGGACCCGCAAAAACAUGAAAAAUUCGUCAUAAGGCAUCCGUCACUUUGUGACACCUUACGACAUAAAGCAGCCCAAUUAGGGCGAAUUUUGAAUGUUUUUAGGAUUUUGAGAGUGCAAAGCACGAAAAAAUCCGUAUCA
rnacentral:sRNA from 1 species